AGACCUGUGGCCCUUGAGUUAUAUGUGGCCUGUAGGUUCUUCUGGGCCUACCCUGGCCUCUUCAAAAUGCUGCGGCCCCAAUUUUGGUUUGCAGUCUUCAGUUUUGUUUUAGCCCUGAACAUGCACCCAAGAAAGAGCAAACUGGUGUUGAAUCUAGAGUUGGAAGGGAGAAAGAAGCUAAGGUCAUCAGCAAGUGGAUUUAAACUGAAUGAACAAUGUUGACUGCAUUCCUCUUAUUUGACCAACAGGCUCUGUUUUGUUUGGAUUGCUGUAGGUGACUUUGAACAUCAAGCCCCCCAGUUCAGAAAUCUGAUAAACCAAUAGGCUGACCUCAUUCUUAAAAUGUAAGCCCCAUAGGAAAACAGUACUCCUUUCUCUUACAAAAGGGAUUCAAUCUAGGGCGUUGCUGAACUAUUUAGUAGGGUAUAUUAGUUGCUACCCUCCUCCAGGGUUCACUGAGUGAGCACUAAGGGCCAGUCCAUAAAGUAUAUGCAAUUUAUCAUGACUGUGAAGCAGAUUUGUGGCAAAGGAAUGACUGAGCAAUGGUUAAAAGAGGCCAAAUGUGAGAAGACAGGAAGUUUUUUAAAAGGCCCUUAAAGGGAUUACAUUCUUUUUGGAUGGUCCCAAAAUGCUGGGCUGAUAUUAGGCCCUGUUUACGUCAUGCGCAUGGAAUAUGAGAAUAAAUCCUUUCUCUGCUCUGUUUUCACCAUCUUAGUAAGAUGCUGGGCAGGGUUCAGGGUGGACAGAGGGAAAAUCUGUAGAAAAAGCAGUGCUGUAGUAGAAGGGGAUCAUGGGAAAAGUGCAGCUCCAAGACUUUUUUGUUCAAAGAAUGAAAAAUGGUAUUGUUUGCUGGAGCACUAGAACAACUGAUGCCCAUCCACUGACCUUAGGAUGGUAUACGUGGGUUCGGGAUACCCCACUUAAUCUUCAUAGUAGCCUGAUGAAGUUAGGCCAGGUUCAGACAGUGGUUGGUUCAAGGUCACCCACAUACUUCAUGACUGAUCAGGGAUUUGAAUCCAGGUCUCCCCAGCCAAAGUACAACAUGCUAACCCAGGAGCAGCCAACAUGGUGUCCUCUAGAUGUAGCUGGGACUCCAGCCAGCAUGGUUAACAGGGGUGA